rnacentral:rRNA from 1 species
CCUACGGGAGGCAGCAGUGGGGAAUAUUGGACAAUGGGGGAAACCCUGAUCCAGCAAUGCCGCGUGAGUGAAGAAGGCCUUAGGGUUGUAAAACUCUUUCGUCCACGACGAUGAUGACGGUAGUGGAAGAAGAAGCCCCGGCUAACUCCGUGCCAGCAGCCGCGGUAAUACGGAGGGGGCUAGCGUUGUUCGGAAUUACUGGGCGUAAAGCGCACGUAGGCGGCGCGACAAGUUAGGCGUGAAAUGCCUGGGCUCAACCCAGGAACUGCGCUUAAGACUGUCGUGCUAGAGACCGGGAGAGGGUGGCGGAAUUCCCAGUGUAGAGGUGAAAUUCGUAGAUAUUGGGAAGAACACCGGUUGCGAAGGCGGCCACCUGGACCGGAACUGACGCUGAGGUGCGAAAGCGUGGGGAGCAAACAGGAUUAGAUACCCCAGUAGUC